rnacentral:rRNA from 1 species
UCUGGUUGAUCCUGCCAGUAGUCAUACACUUGUCUUAAAGAUUAAGCCAUGCAUGUUUAAGUGCUUUGAUUGUCCAACAUUAGACUGCAGACGGCUCAUUACAACAGUUAUUGUAUUAUUGAGGUUAUCUUAUAGGUGGAUACCUGUGGAAAUUCUAGAGCUAAUACAUGUUACAAAUUAUAUGUUCUUGUAACAUAUAAAGCUUUUAUUUUUAUCAAAUCAAAGUGUUUCUGCACUAUGGGUGAUUCAUAAUAAUGCUUUGAGAUCGCUUUACAAGUGACUAUUCAUUCAAGUUUCUGACCUAUCAGUUAGUCAGUAGUGUAUUGGACUAUUGAGGCAUUGACGGGUAACAGAGAAUUAGGGUUCUGUUCCGGAGAGGGAGCCUGAGAAACAGCUACUACAUCUAAGGAAGGCAGCAGGCGCGUAAAUUACCCAAUUCUGACACAGAGAGGUAGUAACAAGAAAUCACAAUAUUUUGCCUUAGGGUUAAAUAAUUGUAUUGAGAACAGAGUAGAUACGUUAUCGAUAAACUAUUGGAGGGCAAGUCUGGUGCCAGCAGCCGCGGUAAUUCCAGCUCCAAUGGUGUAUGCUAACAUUGUUGCAGUUAAAAAGCUCGUAGUCGAAUUUUUAAGGGAACCAAUUUCGUGUGGUCUUAAUGAACUACAAGGGAAUAUGGUUUAUCUUAUUUUAUGCUUGUACACCGUUGGAAUUCGUUUUCUGACAGUGAGUUAAGUUUGUGUUUACUUUGAGAAAAUUAGAGUGUUCUAAGCAGUCUUACGGCUUUAUCCUAAAGCAUGGAAUGAUAAGUAAUGACAUCGGUUAAUUUCUGUUGGUUUGAGUGGUUGAUGUAAUGAUUUAUAGAGUUAGUCGGAGGUAUUAGUAUUUUGUCGUUAGAGGUGAAAUUCCGGGAUCGACAAAAGACUAACAACUGCGAAAGCAUUUGCCUAGGAUUUGCUCCUUGAUCAAGAACGUAAGUUGGGGGAUCGAAGACGAUCAGAUACCGUCGUAGUCUCAACUUUAAACUAUAUCAGCUAGGGGUUGGCAAAUGUUUAUAUGACUUUGUUAGAACCUUGGGAGAAAUCUAAGCGUUUGGGUUCCGGGGGGAGUAUGGUCGCAAGGCUGAAACUUAAAGGAAUUGACGGAAGGGCACCACCAGGAGUGGAGCCUGCGGC